UCCAGUGAGCCAGGGCCGUUUUCCAAUAGUCAAUUCGUCUCCGUAGCAGACUUCGUGAUGGAAACUAAUUCCCAAUUGUGGGCCUGAAUUGUUAAAGUUCAUUGAAGUACUGUAAUGUUUGGCUCUUUUGCAUCUUACUUGAUUUUUUGGCACUAUUAGACUUACUACUGCGCUUAGAACCUAAAAGUCAGGAAGUAAAAAAAAAAAAAAAAGUUGAAGCCUGAUACGGAGCUCAAGUCGAGUAUUGGAAAACGGCCCAGGCACUCCGUGCGUGACGUAAUUACGCGAAGCUGAUCGACGCUGCAUCGAAAACCAUUUACAUAUGGCGGACCGACUACAGACAGAUACACUGCAACAAGUGCAAACAACACGUGGGUGCGGUGACACACGUGCACGUGUAGUACUAUACUAUCAGAGCGAAUUUUCGCGACGUUGUGUAUUGAAGAAAUUAGUGAGGAAUCGCUGACACACCUUCAUGAUGACAUUGAUGGACUCUGACAAGUUUGGCCUCGCAGAAAAUGAUGAAGGUGACUCUGAUGUUAGCCGUAGCACAGACAGAGAAGACGUGGGCUCAAGAGAGACUCAAGUUCCAGUGAGGACCCAAGUGACAGCUACUCCCACAGUGAUGAGGAACAAGAACAGUGGAUGGAGAAAACAGCAGAUUUGGGAAGGCCUCGUUGCCAGGUGAAUGUACAUGUACUGCCAUGGCUGCCUACAUGAAUGUUGAGGCUGGCUAGUGUCAUGGUGCAAGUGGACUGACUGAUGAUAUCUCCAAAGUGAAGAGGCAGGUUACUUCAUGAGUAGCACAGGCCUCCUCAUAUGAAAGCUGUGGGUAUGCCCCAGGAGAAGC
rnacentral:lncRNA from 1 species